rnacentral:rRNA from 1 species
ACACGGGGAUGCCUCAGUACGGCGAGUGAAGCGGCAAGAGCUCAAAUUUGAAAGCUGGCUCCUUCGGAGUCCGCAUUGUAAUUUGCAGAGGAUGCUUUGGGUGCGGCCCCCGUCUAAGUGCCCUGGAACGGGCCGUCAGAGAGGGUGAGAAUCCCGUCUUGGGCGGGGUGUCCGUGCCCGUGUAAAGCUCCUUCGACGAGUCGAGUUGUUUGGGAAUGCAGCUCUAAAUGGGUGGUAAAUUUCAUCUAAAGCUAAAUACUGGCCGGAGACCGAUAGCGCACAAGUAGAGUGAUCGAAAGAUGAAAAGCACUUUGAAAAGAGAGUUAAACAGCACGUGAAAUUGUUGAAAGGGAAGCGCUUGCGACCAGACUCGCCCGCGGGGUUCAGCCGGCAUUCGUGCCGGUGUACUUCCCCGUGGGCGGGCCAGCGUCGGUUUGGGCGGCCGGUCAAAGGCCCCUGGAAUGUAGUGCCCUCCGGGGCACCUUAUAGCCAGGGGUGCAAUGCGGCCAGCCUGGACCGAGGAACGCGCUUCGGCACGGACGCUGGCAUAAUGGUCGUAAACGACCCGUCUUGAACCACGGACCAA